rnacentral:tRNA from 1 species
AUUACUUUGGCAGAUAAGUGCAAUGGAUUUAGAAUUCAUUAAUGUAGAUUUUUCUAUAAGUAGUG